AACGAACGCUGGCGGCAUGCCUAACACAUGCAAGUCGAACGAAGCCUUCGGGCUUAGUGGCGCACGGGUGCGUAACACGUGGGAAUCUGCCCUUUGGUUCGGAAUAACAGUUAGAAAUGACUGCUAAUACCGGAUAAUGACGUAAGUCCAAAGAUUUAUCGCCGAAGGAUGAGCCCGCGUAGGAUUAGGUAGUUGGUGGGGGUAAUGGCCCACCAAGCCGACGAUCCUUAGCUGGUCUGAGAGGAUGAUCAGCCACACUGGGACUGAGACACGGCCCAGACUCCUACGGGAGGCAGCAGUGGGGAAUAUUGGACAAUGGGCGAAAGCCUGAUCCAGCAAUGCCGCGUGAGUGAUGAAGGCCUUAGGGUUGUAAAGCUCUUUUACCAGGGAUGAUAAUGACAGUACCUGGAGAAUAAGCUCCGGCUAACUCCGUGCCAGCAGCCGCGGUAAU
rnacentral:rRNA from 1 species